rnacentral:rRNA from 1 species
GUACACAAAAAUGCACAUGCUGUGAGCUCGAUGAGUAGGGCGGGACACGUGGUAUCCUGUCUGAAUAUGGGGGGACCAUCCUCCAAGGCUAAAUACUCCUGACUGACCGAUAGUGAACCAGUACCGUGAGGGAAAGGCGAAAAGAACCCCGGCGAGGGGAGUGAAAAAGAACCUGAAACCGUGUACGUACAAGCAGUGGGAGCACGCUUAGGCGUGUGACUGCGUACCUUUUGUAUAAUGGGUCAGCGACUUAUAUUCUGUAGCAAGGUUAACCGAAUAGGGGAGCCGAAGGGAAACCGAGUCUUAACUGGGCGUUAAGUUGCAGGGUAUAGACCCGAAACCCGGUGAUCUAGCCAUGGGCAGGUUGAAGGUUGGGUAACACUAACUGGAGGACCGAACCGACUAAUGUUGAAAAAUUAGCGGAUGACUUGUGGCUGGGGGUGAAAGGCCAAUCAAACCGGGAGAUAGCUGGUUCUCCCCGAAAGCUAUUUAGGUAGCGCCUCGUGAAUUCAUCUCCGGGGGUAGAGCACUGUUUCGGCAAGGGGGUCAUCCCGACUUACCAACCCGAUGCAAACUGCGAAUACCGGAGAAUGUUAUCACGGGAGACACACGGCGGGUGCUAACGUCCGUCGUGAAGAGGGAAACAACCCAGACCGCCAGCUAAGGUCCCAAAGUCAUGGUUAAGUGGGAAACGAUGUGGGAAGGCCCAGACAGCCAGGAUGUUGGCUUAGAAGCAGCCAUCAUUUAAAGAAAGCGUAAUAGCUCACUGGUCGAGUCGGCCUGCGCGGAAGAUGUAACGGGGCUAAACCAUGCACCGAAGCUGCGGCAGCGACACUGUGUGUUGUUGGGUAGGGGAGCGUUCUGUAAGCCUGCGAAGGUGUGCUGUGAGGCAUGCUGGAGGUAUCAGAAGUGCGAAUGCUGACAUAAGUAACGAUAAAGCGGGUGAAAAGCCCGCUCGCCGGAAGACCAAGGGUUCCUGUCCAACGUUAAUCGGGGCAGGGUGAGUCGACCCCUAAGGCGAGGCCGAAAGGCGUAGUCGAUGGGAAACAGGUUAAUAUUCCUGUACUUGGUGUUACUGCGAAGGGGGGACGGAGAAGGCUAUGUUGGCCGGGCGACGGUUGUCCCGGUUUAAGCGUGUAGGCUGGUUUUCCAGGCAAAUCCGGAAAAUCAAGGCUGAGGCGUGAUGACGAGGCACUACGGUGCUGAAGCAACAAAUGCCCUGCUUCCAGGAAAAGCCUCUAAGCAUCAGGUAACAUCAAAUCGUACCCCAAACCGACACAGGUGGUCAGGUAGAGAAUACCAAGGCGCUUGAGAGAACUCGGGUGAAGGAACUAGGCAAAAUGGUGCCGUAACUUCGGGAGAAGGCACGCUGAUAUGUAGGUGAAGUCCCUCGCGGAUGGAGCUGAAAUCAGUCGAAGAUACCAGCUGGCUGCAACUGUUUAUUAAAAACACAGCACUGUGCAAACACGAAAGUGGACGUAUACGGUGUGACGCCUGCCCGGUGCCGGAAGGUUAAUUGAUGGGGUCAGCGCAAGCGAAGCUCUUGAUCGAAGCCCCGGUAAACGGCGGCCGUAACUAUAACGGUCCUAAGGUAGCGAAAUUCCUUGUCGGGUAAGUUCCGACCUGCACGAAUGGCGUAAUGAUGGCCAGGCUGUCUCCACCCGAGACUCAGUGAAAUUGAACUCGCUGUGAAGAUGCAGUGUACCCGCGGCAAGACGGAAAGACCCCGUGAACCUUUACUAUAGCUUGACACUGAACAUUGAGCCUUGAUGUGUAGGAUAGGUGGGAGGCUUUGAAGUGUGGACGCCAGUCUGCAUGGAGCCGACCUUGAAAUACCACCCUUUAAUGUUUGAUGUUCUAACGUUGACCCGUGAUCCGGGUUGCGGACAGUGUCUGGUGGGUAGUUUGACUGGGGCGGUCUCCUCCUAAAGAGUAACGGAGGAGCACGAAGGUUGGCUAAUCCUGGUCGGACAUCAGGAGGUUAGUGCAAUGGCAUAAGCCAGCUUGACUGCGAGCGUGACGGCGCGAGCAGGUGCGAAAGCAGGUCAUAGUGAUCCGGUGGUUCUGAAUGGAAGGGCCAUCGCUCAACGGAUAAAAGGUACUCCGGGGAUAACAGGCUGAUACCGCCCAAGAGUUCAUAUCGACGGCGGUGUUUGGCACCUCGAUGUCGGCUCAUCACAUCCUGGGGCUGAAGUAGGUCCCAAGGGUAUGGCUGUUCGCCAUUUAAAGUGGUACGCGAGCUGGGUUUAGAACGUCGUGAGACAGUUCGGUCCCUAUCUGCCGUGGGCGCUGGAGAACUGAGGGGGGCUGCUCCUAGUACGAGAGGACCGGAGUGGACGCAUCACUGGUGUUCGGGUUGUCAUGCCAAUGGCACUGCCCGGUAGCUAAAUGCGGAAGAGAUAAGUGCUGAAAGCAUCUAAGCACGAAACUUGCCCCGAGAUGAGUUCUCCCUGACUCCUUGAGAGUCCUGAAGGAACGUUGAAGACGACGACGUUGAUAGGCCGGGUGUGUAAGCGCAGCGAUGCGUUGAGCUAACCGGUACUAAUGAACCGUGAGGCUUAACCUUACA